rnacentral:rRNA from 1 species
AACGAACGCUGGCGGCAGGCCUAACACAUGCAAGUCGAGCGGACCCUUCGGGGUUAGCGGCGGUCGGGUGAGUAACGCGUGGGAAUAUGCCCUUCUCUACGGAAUAGUCCUGGUAAACUGGGGGUAAUACCGUAUACGCCCUUUCGGGGUAAGAUGUGUCGGGGCAGGAUUAGCCCGCGUUAGAUUAGGUAGUUGGUGGUGUACUGGCAUACUAAGCCGUCGUUCCUUAGCUGGUUUGAGAGGAUGAUCAUCCACACUGGACAUGAGACACGGCCCACACUCCUACGGAAGGAAGGAGUAGGGAGUAUUAGAGAAUGGAGGCAGACCUAAUAUAGCCAUGCCGCGGGAGUGGUGAAGGGGUUAGGGAUGUAAAGCUGUAUCAGAUGGGAAGAGAAUGACGGUAACGGCAGAAGAAGCCCCGGCUAACUCCGUG